rnacentral:lncRNA from 1 species
CUCUUCUUCUUCUUUAAUUGAAAUCUAUUCUUAGGGUUUUUGGAGGAGACAUGAUGUAAAUUACGCUUCUGAGACAGCAGGGACACCACUAUCCUCUCGCGACGUCUCACUUGCUCUGCCAAUCACCUGAGUAGGAAAACAGAACCCGAAGAGAUGGCGCGGGAGUUGGGGUUGGGGUGGAGGUGUUGGGGGGAGCGUGUGGCCCACUGGAUAUCGGUUACCAGCCCUGGGUUCGAUCCCCAUCUGGUAUGCUGCGGCGCUGCAGUGGUAGGAUGGAGGCGGUGGGCUAUCCUCGGCGUCAAAGUGAAUUCAAGGCCGCUACUCCCUCCAGCCCACCGGACCUGCUUUCUCUCAAAGCCCUAUAGUUUCCUUCUAAGUUCACUGGGAGACAAAGAACCCACAAAGGGGACCCCGAGUUCCCCAGUUGGGAUGACACUAGUGAAAUCGGCCGUGCACCAAGCCAGGGGAUUCAGCCUCGAGGGCCACAACUCUUUAAGGGGCGACGUCUCUUCGGACCUCACCCGCAGAGCGCAGAGAAGUCGGCAAACCGCUCAAGUCGAGCAGCAGAAAUCUCGGUCUGGCAAACAGAGCCCCGGGCAAACUUGGGCGUGCUCAAGCGUCUUUGGGGAGGUUACUCCAGUCCAACCCGAGCGAGAGAAGACAGACUUGGAGAAAGUGUAGGAAAGGGAACAAUUACAGGAAAUGCCCUGUAAGGCUGGCUAAGCCUCAGCUAGAAGCCGCGGGAAAGCAGCCCUCACCGGGAAGGUGGAACGAGCGCGCCCUCUGCUGGUGCCUCCUGCAGCACUGGAUUCCUAUGGAGCCAGGAAGACUCGAGAGGACGCUCUGAUACCCAGCUUGGGCACCAGUAUUUAGAAAUGGCUCGGGUACCCCUACAGGUGCCUUCUCCUACCCAGGAAACCGUCCCCUUCCCCCACCCUAUUGAGGCUGGAGUUUCCCUCUUGGUCCAGCCCAUCCGUCAGCUCAGAGUGAAUAGCUAUUGAUUUCAGGAAGGAAACCGCACACGGGUGAGUACACACCCUUCUCAGACCAGCUCCUCACGUGACCCUCCUCCGUUCACCAACCUGAAUGUGACCUUUAAAGGGGAAGAGGCCUUUUAAGAGCUCACAGAUUUACAUUCAAGGCCAGAGCUAGAACUGGGGAGGUCACAUUGGAGAGGUAACCUUGAAGAGGCAGAAGGGAUAUCUGAAGUGAGGAGAAAGG